rnacentral:rRNA from 1 species
CCUACGGGAGGCAGCAGUGGGGGAUCUUGCACAAUGGGGGAAACCCUGAUGCAGCGACGCCGCGUGCGUGAAGAAGGAUUUCGGUAUGUAAAGUGCUUUUAUCAGGGAAGAAAAUGAUAGUAACUGAUCAAUAAGCAUCGGCUAACUACGUGCCAGCAGCCGCGGUCAUACGUAGGAUGCGAGCAUUAUCCGGAGUGACUGGGGGUAAAGGGUUAGGUAGGUGGCAUUAUAAGUAACUAGGGAAAUCUGGUGGGCUAAACAGGAAGACUAUUAGGUAAACUGGUAGGCUUGAGACCGUUAGGGGUAACUGGAACUCCAAGUGUAGGAGUGAAAUGCGUAGAUAUAAGAAGGAACACCAAUAGCGUAGGCAGGUUGCUGGUAUGGUACUGACACUAAGGUUCGAAAGCGUAGGGAGCAAACGGGAUUAGAUACCCGGGUAGUC